GCUGACGAGUGGCGGACGGGUGAGUAAUGUCUGGGAAACUGCCUGAUGGAGGGGGAUAACUACUGGAAACGGUAGCUAAUACCGCAUAAUGUCGCAAGACCAAAGAGGGGGACCUUCGGGCCUCUUGCCAUCGGAUGUGCCCAGAUGGGAUUAGCUUGUUGGUGGGGUAACGGCUCACCAAGGCGACGAUCCCUAGCUGGUCUGAGAGGAUGACCAGCCACACUGGAACUGAGACACGGUCCAGACUCCUACGGGAGGCAGCAGUGGGGAAUAUUGCACAAUGGGCGCAAGCCUGAUGCAGCCAUGCCGCGUGUAUGAAGAAGGCCUUCGGGUUGUAAAGUACUUUCAGCGGGGAGGAAGGGAGUAAAGUUAAUACCUUU
rnacentral:rRNA from 1 species